UACGGAAGGCAGCAGUGGGGAAUAUUGCACAAUGGGCGCAAGCCUGAUGCAGCCAUGCCGCGUGUAUGAAGAAGGCCUUCGGGUUGUAAAGUACUUUCAGUCGUGAGGAAGGUGUUAAGGUUAAUAACCUUAGCAAUUGACGUUAGCGGCAGAAGAAGCACCGGCUAACUCCGUGCCAGCAGCCGCGGUAAUACGGAGGGUGCGAGCGUUAAUCGGAAUUACUGGGCGUAAAGGGCACGCAGGCGGUUAAUUAAGUUGGAUGUGAAAUCCCCGGGCUUAACCUGGGAAUGGCAUUCAAGACUGGUUAGCUAGAGUCUUGUAGAGGGGGUAGAAUUCCAUGUGUAGCGGUGAAAUGCGUAGAGAUGUGGAGGAAUACCGGGUGGCGAAGGCGGCCCCUGGGACAAAGACUGACGCUCAUGUGCGAAAGCGUGGGGAGCAAACAGGGAUUAGAUACC
rnacentral:rRNA from 1 species